rnacentral:lncRNA from 1 species
GGAUGAAUGGGCUUUGUUCUCUCCGUGCCACACUGGCGCCGUGACCAGGAGACCAGGGGCAGGGCCUGCGAGGAAGCAGCAGCAACAUGGGGCAGGGCAAGAUGGGGAGCCUGGGCAGCGAUGUACCUUGACUUUGUGGAAGCGCAGCCUUUGGGUGAGCCGGAUCAGCUCUUCAGUCUGCUUCAUGCGCCCCACCUCAGCGCUGCAACGCUCGAUGAUCUAGCUUCCCCACUGCCCACCUUGCUGACAGCACCCAGGGCCUUCUGGGCAUUCUCCUGACGGCUGGACCCCUCUUCUGUCUGGCGCAGGAUAUUCUGGGGACAAGGAGGAAGGGUGACUGGGCCCCCUGCUCUGUGGCCCUGGGAUUCAGAGGGGCCACAGCUCAGAGGACCCUGUCUGUUUCAGCCAGUUUCAACAAGGCUGACAGACCUCAUCACUCACCAUCUGCAGAACCCUGAGCAAGUCCUGUUACCUCUCUGAGCCUCAGCUUCCCUAUCUGUAAAAUGGGGCUAAUACCCACCUAGCAUAUCAAUAGCAUUGUUUUGAGGAUUCAAGAAGGCAAUAUAUGUAAAGUGCUUAGCAUAGUUCUUGGCACAUAUUAAAUGUUGAAAA